GAUGAAGAACGCAGCAAAAUGCGAUAAGUAAUGUGAAUUGCAGAAUUCAGUGAAUCAUCGAAUCUUUGAACGCACAUUGCGCCCGCCAGUAUUCUGGCGGGCAUGCCUGUUCGAGCGUCAUUUCAACCAUCAAGCCCCAGGCUUGUGUUGGGGACCUGCGGCUGCCGCAGGCCCUGAAAACCAGUGGCGGGCUCGCUGUCACACCGGGCGUAGUAGAUUUUAUCUCGCUCAGGGCGUGCUGCGGGUUCCGGCCGUUAAAAAGCCUUUUUUACCCAAGGUUGACCUCGGAUCAGGUAGGAAGACCCGCUGAACUUAAGAAUAUCAAUAAGCGGAGGA
rnacentral:misc_RNA from 1 species